CAGAAAGCAUCCGUCCAUCGAUCCAUUCAUCCAGCCUCUCUCCCUCUUGCCCGAACCCUAGAGCUCCGCUCCUCCCUGCCGCCGCCACCUCCACCUCCCUCUCCCCGAUCCAGACCCAGCCACCACCCAUGGCGCCAGCCAGAGCAGCCUGCGGCGAUGGCGACAGCGAGGCUAGAGGCCGCCGGAUUCGGGAUCAGGGCGGCACAUAGCCCCUCCUCCCGUGAGAUCCGGGACGCAGUCGCCCAUCUGGAUCGAGCAGCUCCUCUGGCCGCUGCACCGUCUCCACCGUCCGGAUUUGGUGCUCCUCACGCGACCCACCCCCCAGCACGCGUCUCCACCUUCUCUUCCCCAACAUCCUUGGUGAGGGAAUGAAUAGGAGCUCCGGCCAAGGCCAUGGACGCCACCAGCAGAAGCUCCGCCUCGGAUCUUGCGACCUCGUCGACCGAAUCCAGCAGGUCCCCGCCGCUGCACCAAGAUCCUCCCCUCCCUCCCAGAGAGUCCCUCUCUCCCACACGCUCUGCAUCCGCUAUGGCCGUCGCAGCUUCCACCUCCAGAAGAGCACCUGCUCCUUGUGCGGUUACCCGGCCGCCCGCAUCCGCAAGUAGAGAUUGACGGUCGGCUGGGCAGUGUUAGCGCUAAACCUUCAUGCGUACUCACUCUGCUGCAAGCUUUAAUAAUCUUGAUUGAUGCAGACGCCACUGUAUGCAUGCCAAUUUUCUUUUGCAGAUGCUUUCACUUCACCCUUUUCUUUUCAUUUCUUUUCUCUCGAAACAAGGAAAGGAUUUAUUCUGACGGCCAUCUCUAUUUUAGCCUUUUAGGACUCUUAUUAAUUAACAUGCCUACUCUUCUCUGUGGUUUAAGGCUAGUCGAUUCACACUGCAUACAUGCAUAGCUAGCUUCCUCAUCUCCAGUCAAUGAGUUUGCCUUGAUUCAGGUCUUCUCUUCUCCUGGUGAUCAAAAUCAACACCGUACCCUUCCGUUCCUAUCUUAUUUACUAGUUCCCUUUCGUUUCUGUACCUGUCAUAGUCAGUGUGGUAAACUGGUAAUCAGCUAGCUUGGUGGUCACCAGAGUAUGUACUAUUUUAUUUACUAGUACUUUGCUUUCGAUUGUAAUGUGGAUCAGGAGAUGAACUAUAUAUUUUGUUUGUGUCAUGCAUGGCUGUGUCAUACAUGUAUUGACUGAACUUGACUGAAUGUGCAAUUUGAAUCUAGUACUUCUUCCAUUUCUGCUUUCCCCCAACCGGACAUAAGACAUAUCUAGGGUUUAAGCUGUUUUGUUUAGUUUGCUUGCACUGCCUGAAAUGAUGCACCAAUUCUGUAUCUUAUCCUUUUGCUGGAUGGUGGACCUGUCAACGAGUAUUAUUGACUUGAGUGACGACAGAUGCGGUAUUGUGUAGAUGGGUGGUUUGAAUAGUUCGUCCAGAGAAAAUUAUUUAUAGAAUAGAGAUUUGGCGAAAUAUGGUGCUUGUUUAUUGCUGUGAUGGAUACAUCCAAGACAAUUAUUGCGGCUUCAUCAGUGGAGUGUAUUUUUGUUUCAUUCAAUGUCUGAUCUGAUUAUAAACAUAACCACAGGACGUAUUUAGAUGGGUGUAUUUAGUGGGGUGUAUUUAGAUGGGUGUAUAUAAAAAUGAUUUGAUCUUCUCUUCCUUGGUUUCCUGAUGCGCUCCUAUUCCACAACCACAGGGACGGCACAUCAAUUGGGGACGAGCAGGAUGGGGCCAACAAGCCUAGGAGGAGGAUGAGCUCCAUCCGCAGCAGCUCAUGCUCAUGGAGGAACAAGUCUGAAUCGUUGUUGUUACUCUGCUGUCCUGGAGUCACCAUCCACAGCAGCCGUGGUGUGGCUGAGCCUCUGCUACGGCUACAACCUCCCUCUGGUGAGCUCCUCCCUGUUCCUUCUUCUCUGAUGUAGCUCCUGCAUGGCCUUGGCCAUGAUUUGGGUUGGAUGUGGGGCUCUACUAGUUGCUGCUAGAUGCUGUAACCAAGCAUCAACUCCUACUGGAGCUCUCUGGUGAUAAAUUCAUGCGGUUCUAAGGUCUGUCAGUAGCUGCCCAUGUGUACUUGCUUUAUAUAUGUGAUCCUAUGAUGCUCUGGUGAUAUGGGUGGCUAUUAUCAAGAUCAUGUUGGUGUUGAUCCUUAUCUUGCGUGUCUCUGGUGGUGGUGGUGUUGACAGCAGUUACACACCUAGCUUGUAACUAAUAUCAUUACUGCUAAUUUACCUCAAGUUUAUUUGAACAUGGUUGAAAUGAGCGCUGCAAAUUUUGAUGUCUAAAAUCAAUUUUUACCCCAAGUCCUUAAUUAAUUACUAGCAAAAAGGCCCGUGCGUUGCAACGGGAGAAAAAAAUACCACACGCUCUUAAUUUACAAAAAAUGUUCUAUAAUCUGAGAAUUUGUAACUAUUUCUUAAAUACAUGAAAAGUUGUUACAAAAGUUGUUAAAAAUAUAUAGGAUUUUUUAAUCAUAAGAAGAGAUGUUUUUUGUCUGGAAAAGAAUAUUUUUUUGUGGUCUCCUAUUGACGCAAGUACUUGCGCCCCUAUUUUAUCACUAUUUCUUUCCGUACAUGUUAUAGGUAUUGGUCCCUGUUUCAUUGCUAUUUAUAUCUUAUCAAACUUGUCUUUUAUUAUUUUUUUCAUGCAUGUCCUCUCUUUUUUCUUCUUAUAUAGGAGAAUAGCGCAACAUCUCAUCUAUAUCGGAUCUCCUCCGCAUUUUCUCUUUUAUUUGUUUUAUAGCGGACAUUCCAUUUUUAUUGGGUCCUUCUUUUAUUUCUUGUCAUGCAUGUCCUUAUUUAUUGGGUGUCUCUAGCAAAUUUAUAUUGAAUUUUAUGACUAAUCCUGAUUUUGCUGGGGUGUUCAUCCCCAAUCUGAAUCACUACCGGUAUGAAAAAAAGACGAAUAAUGCAUUGUUGAUUAACAUUGCAGCCUAGAUAGUUUUUUUAAAUUGUUAACAGGUAAGAUAACAUCAUAUUCAGAUUCUACAUAUUUUUCUGAUCAAAUUCCAUAUAUAAAAUGUUAAAUUUGGAGUUACGGUUUAAAAGAUAUGAGUAUUUUUAAAAACAUUUGAUAUUUACUACGGGUUUAAUGUCAGAAACGCCAGGGGGUUUUCUACAAAAUAGCAUAACGGACUAAGAAUACCUAUUUCUUUUAUUGGUAGGUUUAGAUUUUCAUUACAUCACAGUUAGCUAAGAAUAUUGACUUGAAUAUUUUAUGUAUGCCCUGAUGCAUGUACAUAUAAAACACCGAGCUGCAGUGGAACAACUUGGAGUUAGAGAACUUUAAGGACAAGAUCAACGAGGUGACCAGCGUUAUGGCGGCUGUGUACAGUGGCGACCACAAGUUCUUUGGUGAGCUUGCAGUAUCCAUAUUGUGUCAUAUAAGAUGCAGCUCCGUUGUGCAUCUCUCUUUUCUUGUGUGCUGCAUCAUUGUUGCUUGAUAGAGUAAAUGAUUUCAGUUCUGGUUGUGUCAAAUCUUUACUAUGUACCCUUAGUGUUUACUAAACUGAGGCACUAGGCAUUGGAAUUCAGGC
rnacentral:rRNA from 1 species